rnacentral:tRNA from 1 species
UGAGAUGUAGCUCAAUGACAGAGCAUUUGCCUAGCAUGGGGAGGCCCUGGGUUUGAUUCCCAGCACCACAA